rnacentral:lncRNA from 1 species
AGAAACAGAAUGAAACGAAACAGAGAGCAGGGGAGAAAAACAAAGAAAGAAAAGAAAGAAAGGGGGAAAAGGGAAAAUUUAAGGUUUGAAGCUUUAAGCUUUAAUAGGUAAGUCAAUCAAGCCCUUUUUAAUUAAUUUUGAUGUUUUAAAAGUUUCAGAACAAAGUUUUGAUGAAAUUAAGUUGAUAUUUUGAAAGUUAUUAGAUUUCUAGAUAUUAACCAUGUUAAAUAAAAUGAUGAAUUAAGGGCUAAAUUGAUAGAAAUUCAAGUUAGAAAUGAUAUAAAGAUUGAAUUGUAAAGUGAUUCAUAAGUUUUUUGCUUUAAGGAUAAAAUUGAAAGAAUUUCGAAAUUAUGGUUUUAUGAUGAAAAAAAUAGAUAAUUAUGUCUAAGUUUAGUUAAAAAUUGAGUAGAAGUAAAGUAUGAAUUAAGAUAGAAAAGUAAGUGAAUUUAGUUAGGAUUAAAUUGAAAUUAAAAGUAGAAAAUCAACAUUUUGCACUAAGACUAUUUUGGACAGCAGCAGUAGUCUAAGUUUGAAAAAACACCAAAAAUUUUAGAAAUUGAAUUAGAGGAUGAAUACAAUAUGAAAUUAAAUAUUAUUGAGUCUAGUUUCUUAUAGAAUAAAGAGUAUAAGCAAUUGAAUUGUAAAUUAUGAGAUAUAAUGAAUUUUGUGAGACAAGGUCAGAAUGAAUUUGGGUUCCCCUGUUCUGACUUUGGAAAAUCAAAAAAAAUUGGAGAAAAAUAAUUAAUGCUUAAAGUUAUAUUUUUUGAAUCCCUAAUGAGUCUAUUUUCAUGAGAAAUCAACGAUAAUAUUAUCCGAGUUUUGUACUGUGAGAUAAUUAAUUUUUAGUGAAGAAGGGUCGAAACUGUCAGACAGCAGAACAGGGGUAAAUUUAAAGAAUAAACUGUUCCUAUUGGCCAAACCAAAAAUUCUAAAAAUUUUAUGGUAAGAAUAUAUAUGAGUCUAGUUUCAGGUAAAAUUAGCAGAUCUUAAUUUGGAGUUUUAUAGAUCCAGAUAUAAAUAAUUUAGUGACUAUGACACAGAUGGACAACUUGAAUAUCCAUAAAAGUAAAUAAUAAAAAUUAUAAAUAAUGUUACUUACAAGUGUGUUAUAUACAUUAAGGAUGUGGAAUGGAGAGGAUGAGGAGGAAAAUAUAUAUGAAUAUUCAGUUCGCAUGGCUAAUUUUCAUGUUUUAAACUCAUGGACUAAAUUGAAUAAAAGUAAAACUUUAAGGGGUAAUUUUGUAAAAAUGUCAAAAAUGACUAAAUUGAAGGGAAUGAAUUGUUUUAUUAUCUAAAUUAAUAAAUUGAAUAAAAUUAUCAAUUUAAGAUUGGGUGAAAUUUGGAAAAAUGAUAAAUUACCAAUAUGCCCCUAAAUCUUGGUAUUUCUGCAAUUUAGUCAGGUAGAAGUAGGUUCGUAUAUCCUGAAUGAGCAUGUAAAUAUUAUAAUUUAAGUAUUGUAUCGUAUUUUAUAUGAUAUUUUGAAUUGAAUAUAUGAAAAGGAUGUUACAUGAAACAUGAAAAUGAAUACUAAAUAAUAUAAAUUAAUUGAAAUUAUUCUGAAAAUCUCGGUAAUGCCUCGUAUCCUAUCCCGGUCUCAGGUACGGGUAUGGGGUAUUACACACCCCUUUAUUAUUUUAUCUGUCAGGUAAUCCCCAGCAAUAGAUGGAUUGGUGCAGCGGAGGGCUCGACGGUGACCACAGCUACCUAUACUCUAGUUUUACAGUUUUAAUACUUUUAUUACUUUAACUGCUAUAAAUGAGAGUAUUUAUGUAAUUUUUGGACUCAGAUGGUUUGGUUUAAAUUCGGGAUUUUGGAACUACUGCUUAUUAUUUUGAAACUGCAACAUGUCACGAUAACUUUAUUUGUUUUUUUAAGCUUCCGCGUAUAAAGAAAUGUUUUC